GUGGGGAAUCUUGCGCAAUGGGCGAAAGCCUGACGCAGCCAUGCCGCGUGAAUGAUGAAGGUCUUAGGAUUGUAAAAUUCUUUCACCGGGGACGAUAAUGACGGUACCCGGAGAAGAAGCUCCGGCUAACUUCGUGCCAGCAGCCGCGGUAAUACGAAGGGGGCUAGCGUUGCUCGGAAUUACUGGGCGUAAAGGGCGCGUAGGCGGACAGCUUAGUCAGAGGUGAAAGCCCAGGGCUCAACCUUGGAAUUGCCUUUGAUACUGGCUGUGUUGAGUUUGGGAGAGGUGAGUGGAACUCCGAGUGUAGAGGUGAAAUUCGUAGAUAUUCGGAAGAACACCAGUGGCGAAGGCGACUCACUGGCCCAAUACUGACGCUGAGGCGCGAAAGCGUGGGGAGCAAACAGGAUUAGAUACCCCUGUAGUCC
rnacentral:rRNA from 1 species